rnacentral:rRNA from 1 species
UGGGGAAUAUUGGACAAUGGGGGGAACCCUGAUCCUGCCAUGCCGCGUGUGUGAAGAAGGCCUUAUGGUUGUAAAGCACUUUAAGCGAGGAGGAGGGUACUGGUAUUAAUACUACCAGCUACUGGACGUUACUCGCAGAAUAAGCACCGGCUAACUCUGUGCCAGCAGCCGCGGUAAUACAGAGGGUGCGAGCGUUAAUCGGAUUUACUGGGCGUAAAGCGUGCGUAGGCGGCUAAUUGAGUCGGAUGUGAAAUCCCCGAGCUUAACUUGGGAAUUGCAUUCGAUACUGGUUAGCUAGAGUGUGGGAGAGGAUGGUAGAAUUCCAGGUGUAGCGGUGAAAUGCGUAGAGAUCUGGAGGAAUACCGAUGGCGAAGGCAGCCAUCUGGCCUAACACUGACGCUGAGGUACGAAAGCAUGGGGAGCAAACAGG